GCCAGCAUGGCUUAGUGGUUUGAGUGUUGGACUACAACUCUGGAGACCAGGGUUUAAAUCCUGCUCAGCCA